GUUUUUGUUUUCGUCUAUAUUUAAUGUUUCAUGCAUGUGCCACAAGAUUCGAUGUGACGGGGAAUCUUGAAAAUUUUUUGGUUUUCAGGGUGAACUGGCCUUGUUUAGUUCACAAAAUUUUUGGUUUUCGGCUACUGUAGCACUUUCAUUUUUAUUUGACAAACAUUGUCCAAUCACGGAGUAACUAGGCUCAAAAGAUUCAUCUCACAAAUUACAGAUAAACUGUAUAAUUAGUUUUUAUUUUCGU
rnacentral:lncRNA from 1 species